rnacentral:rRNA from 1 species
UACAGAGGGUGCGAGCGUUGUCCGGAAUCACUGGGCGUAAAGGGCGCGUAGGUGGCGACCCAAGUCGAUGGUGAAAGCUCGCCGCUCAACGGCGAGUCGGCCACCGAUACUGGGUUGCUGGAGCACUGUAGAGGCAGAUGGAAUUCCGGGUGUAGCGGUGGAAUGCGUAGAGAUCCGGAGGAACACCAGAGGUGAAGACGGGUUGCUGGGCCGACACUGACGCUGACAGCGCGAAAGCCAGGGGAGCAAACGGG